UGUCGCCCAAAGCCAGAGGAAGGAAAUGGGAAAACCCUUUUCAUCAUUUUAUUUCAGCAAAUUGAAGCCUUAAUCGUAGCUAUUACCCAUGCAUGUUACUGAUUUUCCAAUCAUCUAAGCCUACUAUAACACAAGGAAUAAAGGAAGAAAGCUCAAGUCGUUCCGGAUCGCAAGCGAACACCGACAAAGGUAAAUCGUCUUGAUAGUUGGCGCUACUUUGGAAUGGACACACCAAAUCGCACGCUUCCGCAAUGAUGCUAGUUAAUGGGUCUAAACUUUUGUUAGAAGGUUUUCGUUAAGUUGGGUUUUUUUGUAAAUAACUUAACUUGGAAGGUUGUCGAUGUCGAAACUUUUGUUGUUUUAAAACUAUAUAGUUGUUUAAGGACUUUUAGGAUGUAAACUUUUUUUUUUUUGUAGAUUAUCUUGACUAGUUAUGAUGAUGUUAAUGUAAACAUUACAAGUUGAUUAUUUGACUCGUUUGGUUCUUUUGCCAUUAAGUCAUUCAUGUUUUUAUUAA